AGAGUUUGAUCCUGGCUCAGGAUGAACGCUAGCUGGAGGCUUAAUACAUGCAAGUCGUGGGGCAGCAUGAGUGUAGCAAUACAUUUGAUGGCGACCGGCAAACGGGUGCGGAACACGUACACAACCUUCCUUUAAGUGGAGAAUAGCCCAGGGAAACUUGGAUUAAUACUCCGUAACAUAUAGAAGUGGCAUCACUUUUAUAUUAUAGCUCCGGCGCUUAGAGAUGGGUGUGCGGCUAAUUAGGUAGUUGGCGGGGUAACGGCCCACCAAGCCUACGAUCAGUAACUGGUGUGAGAGCACGACCAGUCACACGGGCACUGAGACACGGGCCCGACUCCUACGGGAGGCAGCAGUAAGGAAUAUUGGUCAAUGGACGCAAGUCUGAACCAGCCAUGCCGCGUGGAGGAUGAAGGUCCUCUGGAUUGUAAACUUCUUUUAUCUGGGAAGAAAAAGGACUUUUCUAAGUCAACUGACGGUACCAGAUGAAUAAGCACCGGCUAACUCCGUGCCAGCAGCCGCGGUAAUACGGAGGGUGCAAGCGUUAUCCGGAUUCACUGGGUUUAAAGGGUGCGUAGGUGGGCAGGUAAGUCAGUGGUGAAAUCUCCGGGCUUAACCCGGAAACUGCCAUUGAUACUAUCUGUCUUGAAUACCCUGGAGGUGAGCGGAAUAUGUCAUGUAGCGGUGAAAUGCUUAGAUAUGACAUAGAACACCCAUUGCGAAGGCAGCUCACUACAGGAAUAUUGACACUGAGGCACGAAAGCGUGGGGAUCAAACAGGAUUAGAUACCCUGGUAGUCCACGCCCUAAACGAUGGAUACUCGACAUCAGCGAUACACUGUUGGUGUCUGAGCUAAAGCAUUAAGUAUCCCACCUGGGAAGUACGAUCGCAAGAUUGAAACUCAAAGGAAUUGACGG
rnacentral:rRNA from 1 species